rnacentral:tRNA from 1 species
CGGGGAGUGGCGCAGUUGGCAGCGCGCCUGCUUUGGGAGCAGGAGGCCGGGGGUUCAAGUCCCCCCUCCCCGACCA